AGGCACGUAGCUCAGCUCGGAUAGAGCGUCUGGCUUCUAACCAGAAGCGCGGGGGUUCGAAUCCCUCCGUGCCCG
rfam:Halarchaeum acidiphilum MH1-52-1 DNA, contig: HAL001.